CCUACGGGCGGCAGCAGUGAGGAAUAUUGGUCAAUGGGAGAGAUCCUGAACCAGCCAAGCCGCGUGAGGGAAGACGGCCCUAUGGGUUGUAAACCUCUUUUGUCGGAGAACAAAACCCGGGACGUGUCCCGGACUGCGUGUAUCCGAAGAAAAAGCAUCGGCUAACUCCGUGCCAGCAGCCGCGGUAAUACGGAGGAUGCGAGGGUUAUCCGGAUUUAUUGGGUUAAAAGGGUGCGUAGGCGGUCCGUUAAGUCAGCGGUAAAAUUGCGGGGCUCAACCCCGUCGAGCCGUUGAAACUGGCAGACUUGAGUUGGGGAGAAGUACGCAGAAUGCGCGGUGUAGCGGUGAAAUGCAUAGAUAUCGCGCAGAACUCCGAUUGCGAAGGCAGCGUACCGGCGCCAGACUGACGCUGAGGCACGAAAGCGUGGGGAGCGAACAGGAUUAGAUACCCGGGUAGUC
rnacentral:rRNA from 1 species